rnacentral:rRNA from 1 species
GAUGAACGCUAGCUACAGGCUUAACACAUGCAAGUCGAGGGGCAGCAUGGUCUUAGCUUGCUAAGGCCGAUGGCGACCGGCGCACGGGUGAGUAACACGUAUCCAACCUGCCGUCUACUCUUGGACAGCCUUCUGAAAGGAAGAUUAAUACAAGAUGGCAUCAUGAGUCCACAUGUUCACAUGAUUAAAGGUAUUCCGGUAGACGAUGGGGAUGCGUUCCAUUAGAUAGUAGGCGGGGUAACGGCCCACCUAGUCUUCGAUGGAUAGGGGUUCUGAGAGGAAGGUCCCCCACAUUGGAACUGAGACACGGUCCAAACUCCUACGGGAGGCAGCAGUGAGGAAUAUUGGUCAAUGGGCGAGAGCCUGAACCAGCCAAGUAGCGUGAAGGAUGACUGCCCUAUGGGUUGUAAACUUCUUUUAUAAAGGAAUAAAGUCGGGUAUGGAUACCCGUUUGCAUGUACUUUAUGAAUAAGGAUCGGCUAACUCCGUGCCAGCAGCCGCGGUAAUACGGAGGAUCCGAGCGUUAUCCGGAUUUAUUGGGUUUAAAGGGAGCGUAGAUGGAUGUUUAAGUCAGUUGUGAAAGUUUGCGGCUCAACCGUAAAAUUGCAGUUGAUACUGGAUAUCUUGAGUGCAGUUGAGGCAGGCGGAAUUCGUGGUGUAGCGGUGAAAUGCUUAGAUAUCACGAAGAACUCCGAUUGCGAAGGCAGCCUGCUAAGCUGCAACUGACAUUGAGGCUCGAAAGUGUGGGUAUCAAACAGGAUUAGAUACCCUGGUAGUCCACACGGUAAACGAUGAAUACUCGCUGUUUGCGAUAUACAGCAAGCGGCCAAGCGAAAGCGUUAAGUAUUCCACCUGGGGAGUACGCCGGCAACGGUGAAACUCAAAGGAAUUGACGGGGGCCCGCACAAGCGGAGGAACAUGUGGUUUAAUUCGAUGAUACGCGAGGAACCUUACCCGGGCUUAAAUUGCAGAUGAAUUACGGUGAAAGCCGUAAGCCGCAAGGCAUCUGUGAAGGUGCUGCAUGGUUGUCGUCAGCUCGUGCCGUGAGGUGUCGGCUUAAGUGCCAUAACGAGCGCAACCCUUGUUGUCAGUUACUAACAGGUUCCGCUGAGGACUCUGACAAGACUGCCAUCGUAAGAUGUGAGGAAGGUGGGGAUGACGUCAAAUCAGCAUGGCCCUUACGUCCGGGGCUACACACGUGUUACAAUGGGGGGUACAGAGGGCCGCUACCACGCGAGUGGAUGCCAAUCCCAAAAACCUCUCUCAGUUCGGACUGGAGUCUGCAACCCGACUCCACGAAGCUGGAUUCGCUAGUAAUCGCGCAUCAGCCACGGCGCGGUGAAUACGUUCCCGGGCCU